CCGCCGAGCUCGCCGCGGUCACCACGUCAGCGCCGGCCAUGGUGAUCGCGAACCCGACCACGACGUCGUGCUCAGCGUGCCAUGGUGACCGCGAACUUCUCCUUUUGCUGGCCACCGUUCAUCUCUGCACGUGCAGCACAGCCUCAGCAGCAGCAGCACCCCAUCUUCGGCAACUUCCACUGCCGCUGGUGAGACAGUAGGCAAGCUUUGUUCUUCUCCUCAUUGUGGUUGACCUUGUCGCUGUCCUUGCUGAGACCGGCCUUCGUGCCGUGUUUUACUGCUGUCACAGGGAGGCCUCGGACCUGCUGCACCUUCCCACGGAAGCCGCAACGCUAGAGCUACCUUGAGUGGAACCUCGCAGCACCGCUGACCGCCUUUGCAACAUCUUGCCGAGCACCGGCCAAUGACGAAGCCGCGCGACCAAGCAUGACCACCACUUCGCUGCAUCCGAAGAACAGCAGCUGCUACCACAGCCCAUCGGCUCCAAGGUCGAGCCCCGAACCCUAGUUGGCGUCAUUCUCGAUGCCAACAAAAACCCUAUUCUGCUUUCAUUCACUUGCUAUAUGAUUCAUCUUUAUCCAUCUAUCUAUACUUGUCGAUACAUGAAUUAUUUAUUCUAUGCCUGUGCCGUGCCUUCGUGCCGGUCUGUUUAUCUAUCCGUUUAUCUAUCUCUGUUGGUCGCUAUGGAAAUGUGCUACUCUACUUUGUCUUUGUGUUGGUCGCGGCAUUGUGGUUCUUUGUGCGUUGGUUCUUGUGUCAUGUGGUUGGUUGGUUG
rnacentral:lncRNA from 1 species